GACGAACCGUGCAAACGUUAUUCGGAAUCACUGGGCAUAAAGGGCGCGUAGGCGGCUUUCUAAGUCAGGGGUGAAAUCCGGCAGCUCAACUGUCGCAGUGCCUUUGAUACUGGGAAGCUCGAGGGAGGUAGGGGUCUGUGGAACUUCCGGUGGAGCGGUGAAAUGCGUUGAUAUCGGAAGGAACGCCGGUGGCGAAAGCGACGGACUGGAUCUCAUCUGACGCUGAGGCGCGAAAGCCAGGGGAGCAAACGGG
rnacentral:rRNA from 1 species